AGGAACGUCUGGUUACUUGGUUUUUGACGCAGCAUGUUUUUUUAAUUCUCCGUAUGUUUUUAUAUUGAACAAGGUAUGUGUCACAGAGGGGGCAGGUCAGCAGCUAUCCUUUCGUUGUGGAUUUUUUUAUACUUUGGUUUUUGAGACAAAAUUCAGAACAGGUAUAUGAUGAGAUGAGCACUGGGUGUUAUAUUCCAUAUUGGCAAAUUAAAUAAAAUAUUAAAAAAUUUUUUCAAAAGAAAAAAAAUUUUCAGAACAGGUGAGUGUCAGGGAAGGAGGCCCAGCCCCGCGCGCUCUCCGGCAAAGGGCCCUGGCGCAGCCAGCCUCAGUUUCCCCGCGGGGUUCGCCGACUGGGGGGCUCGUGGCUAUCCGCGCCGCGGUCUCCUCGCCCCGGCCGUCCUCGCGCACGAUGCCCACGGGCGGGCGCCGCGAGAGAACCGGGAAACCGGAAGUUGAGAUGGGGCAGCCGGACGGGAAACGUGGGCACACCGGCCGGGGGCAGGCGGCAGCAGGGCGACCCCCUCCUCGGCGGGGCGGUCCCUCGAGGGCGCGGGCGGGAGCGCGCAGGGACUGCAUUUCCCGCACAGUAAAUGUGAAGACUCUUCCUCCUAGACCUGCUUGGUCCUAGAGCCAGCCCUGGAAGUAUUUCCGCUCAUCUCCAAGAAGAGGCUAAAGUCUGUCACAUAGUAAGUGCUCAAUAUUUUCUGAGUAGUUAAAUCAAUGUUGAGACUCCAUUUGGUCUAGUUUAGGUGACCCCGUGGUGGGAUCUAAAUUGCUGGGCUUCCCCAGUGUCCCUGAAAGUAGCCCCUUUUGUGUGGUAGAGAAACAUUUGCCCAAGAAUCAGGACACACACACUUUUUUGAGACUGAGAUCCUCCUGCAACUGCUGUGGCUGAAAUGGCCUAUGUCAGGAAUGAAUUCCUUUACUCUGGACGUUGAUCAUGCUCCUUGUUGAUGGAGAACCAUUCGCAGACUGAGUAGUUGAUCUUUUUCCACAGCCCCCUGGGACUUCUCAGUUUGUAGCUCUCUGGCUUGACAAUAGUAUUGACUUUUGCUACAACUUUGGACAUACCUCUCACCUUGAGGAUUAAAACGCCUGGAAAUACUGACCAGAGACAAACUCCAAGGCUCUCAUUUUUAAAAAGUAUUUAUUUAGUCAGGAGAGACAUAUAGAGAGGCAGAGACACAGGCAGAGGGAGAAGCAGGCUCUCUGUGGGGAGCCCGAUAUGGCACUUGAUCCCAGGACCCUGGGCUCAUGACCUGAGCUCAACCACUGAGCCACCCAGGUCUUCCCCCAGGCUCAUAUGUUUUGUUCCUCAAACUGACAGUAGAAUAGAUCAGAAUCCUAAAAGAUGUUUAACUCCAAAAGCAGAGUCACAAAUUCAAAAUGCUUCAGGGGUAAAGUGGGGACCAAAUGCAGCAACGUGAGAGCAGAUCCCGCAUGUGGGGAAUAUGAGUCCAGGGUUGCCCGGUGUUCUGAUUUUUCAAGAAAAUCAAUUUUAUGAGAACUUUACUAAUUUUUAAAAAUAUUUUAUUUAGGGAUCCCCGAGUGGCUCAGUGGUUUAGAGCCUGCCUUUGGCCCAGGGCGUCAUCAUGGAGUCCUGGGAUCGAGUCCCGCAUAAGGGGCUCCCUGCAUGGAGCCUGCUUCUCCCUCUGCCUGUGUCUCUGCCUCUCUCUCUGUGUGUCUCUCAUGAAUAAAUAAAUAAAAUCUUAAAUAUUUUACUUAUUU
rnacentral:lncRNA from 1 species